rnacentral:rRNA from 1 species
UACGGAGGAUGCAGGCGUUAUCCGGAUUUAUUGGGUUUAAAGGGUGCGCAGGUUGUUUGAUAAGUCAGUGGUGAAAGUCUGUCGCUUAACGGUAGGAUUGCCAUUGAUACUGUUGGACUUGAAUAUGGAUGAGGUAGGCGGAAUGUGUAGUGUAGCGGUGAAGUGCAUAGAUAUCGGGAGGAACACCAGUGGCGAAGGCGGCUUCCUGGCACAAUACUGACGCUCAUGUGCGAAAGCUAGGGCAGCGAACGGGAUUA